rnacentral:rRNA from 1 species
GGCAACGGCCAUACCACGUUGAAAACACCCGGUUCUCGUCUGAUCACCGAAGUUAAGCAACGUUGGGUUUGGUUAGUACUUGGAUGGGUGACCGCCUGGGAAUACCAAAUGCUGUUGUCU